rnacentral:tRNA from 1 species
GAUAGUUUAUUUGAGUGGAGAAUUUCGAUCUUGGAUAUCGAGGGCGAGGGUUAAAAUCUCUCUCGUUUGA